UUUUUUAUUUCAUAUAUAUGUAAAUAUGCUCCACAUAUAUAUUCUACACUUCUUUUAAGUCACAGUGUGAGAAGUUGCUGCAAUGUGAGAAGUUGUGUAGUAGAGUUAGCUGGAAAAUCUUUGCUCUCAGCUAGGGCAGCAUGGCUGACCUUUGACUCCACAGGAAAGUCCACCCUCUGUUCAAACCCUCUUGUUCCAGACAGCCCAGCACAGAUGGCAUGAGUGGUUCUGGCGAGCCAGCCGGUGAGAACAGGCAGGCAGACAUCUGCAGGUGAAGGCCGGGAGGGAAUCACGGCUGGAAGGUCAUUGAAAGUCGAUGCACAGAAAGGCUGUUUCCCCAGCAGCAGAAAUUACCCUGUAAGACCUUUGCAGGUCCAUGAGGCAGGAGGCCAAGGGCGAUAUACAAUGAAUAGUUAAACUGUCCUAAGAAGGGCCUGGUGUCUAUUAAAAUCCCAAACACCUGAAUCACAUCUGACUUGAAGAUUACCACCUAAAGGUUCUGAGCACCAAACAGUCCUAGGAACAAGAAUAUUGGCACACACACACAAAAAAAAAAAAAAAAUCACGUGAGAGUUGUUAAAAGUACCAGUGCCCAGACCAGUUAAGAAAGAGUCCCUAACCAUCAGUACAUAUCUCUAAACAGCUCCUGCAGAGGACAAGACAAAAAGGACCACUCCUCAAAGCACAAAACUGGACUGGCUGGUUGUUUAAAGUGGUGAGUUGAGCUGAGUGAGCUCUGAACACCCAAAAUUAAAACUUAAGUUAAUAGCUGUGGAGAUUUCAUCAUUUCUUAAGAAAUUUUCUCUCUCUCUCUCUCUUUUUUUUUUGUAUUUUUGUCUCUUUUAGGACUGCACCUGCAGCAGAUGGAGGUUCCCAGGCUAGGGGUUGAACUGGAGCCGUAGCUGCUGGCCUAAAACACAGCUAUAGCAACUUGGGAUCCAAGCCGUGUCUGCAACUGACACCACAGUUCACAGCAACACAGGAUCCUUAACCCACUGAGUGAGAGGCCAGGGAUUGAAUACGCACCCUCAUGGUUCCUAAUCAAAUUCAUUUCUUCUGCGCCACAAUGGGAACUCCAAGAAAUUAUUUUUUAAGAAAAAGAGAAUGAGGCAAAGAGUCUAGAGACCUGAUUAUUAUACCAAACUUUGCCAGUCAUUUCAACUGAGAACCUACCUAUUCCUUGUCUGUGUAAUAUAAUAGAGUUGGAUAAAGUAAUCUCCAAGGUCCUUCCUUUCCUCCUAUUUCUGUUGUCAAAUGCUGCUGGUAUAAAACUCUGAACAAUCUCUUCUUUUCCUUUUAAAAACUGGUAGUUCCCUGGUGUCCUAGAAGAUUAAUAAUCGUGCCUUGUCAAUGUUGUGAUGCCACUGUGUCACCCCGGCUGUGGCGUGGGUUCAAUCUCUGGACCAGGAACUUCUGCAUGCCUCAGGCAUUGCCUAAUAAACAAAAACUGUUAAUUUUUUUCUGAUGAUUGAAAAAUAAGAAUAUCAUAAUUUUAUAUUUUAAAGCCUCUGUCCCACCUUUCAUUUAAUAAGAAAUAAAACAUGAAAUGUUUUAUGCUAUGAUCACUCAUUUAAGAUCAUAUAGAAAAUCAUCAUUAGUACAACAGGGAAGAAAAAAAAUUAAAAAUCAUGUAGGUAGGGAAAAAUAAAUAAAACUUUUUCUAUAGGCAGAUGACAUGAUUGUAUAUGUAGAAAAUAUUAAGAAUUUACAAAAAAAGGAAAGACUUUAAUAAGUUUAGCAAGGUCUAAGAAUAUAAGUUCAAUAUACAAAUAUCGGAUGUAUUUCUAUAUUCAAGCACUGAAAAAUCACAAAUUGAUUUUUUUAAGUAUUAUUUAAAAUAUCCAAAAAUAAACUAUAAAUAAAUCUAACAAAAUUUGCGUGUGAAAUCUAAUAAGAUUUAUAUGUUAUAACUACAAAAUAUUGGAGAGAAUAAUAAAAAAAAAUGUGUUCAUGGCUUAGAAGGAUCGAUGUUUUGAAGACGUAAAUUGUCAGAGUUCCUGCUGUGGUUCAGAGGCUUAAGAACCUAACAUAGUGUCAUGAGGAUUUAGGUUGGAUCUCUGGUCUCAUUCAGUGGGUUUGGAUCUGGCAAUGUGGCAAGCUGCAGCAUAGUUGGCAGAUGCAGCUUUUGCUGUGGCUGUUGAUGUAGGCCAGAAACUGCAGCUUGGAUUGGACCCUUAGCCCAGGAUAUUAUUUUAAGAGGUGGUGAGGCCCUUAAAAAAAAAGAAAACAUGUGUCAAUUCUCCCCAAACUAAUUGAUAGAUUCAAUGAAACUCCAAUCAAUAACCUAGAAGGCUUUUGUAGACUCUGAAAAGCUGAUCCUAAUAUUUAUAAGAAAAAGCAGAGGAUACAUAAUAAACAAAAUAAUUUUAAAAAUAAAUAACAAAGUUGAAUGCUAUCUGAUUUCAUGACUUACUAUAAAACUUCAGUAAGAAUUACUGUAUAAGACACAUUUAACUUUGGUUAGGUGGGAUCCGGAAAAGAUGGGCUAAAGAAGGCACCUGAAAACAUGUGUGCUCAUUAGUAUGGUCAGGAACCCUAGCUAUGCACUGGAUAUAUUUUGUAAAUAAAGUUUUAUUGGAAUACAAACAUAUAUGCCCAUUUGUUUACAUACAGUCUAUGACUGUUUUCACACCACAGUGUCCAAGUUGAGUAGUUGCAACAGAGUCAGAGAACAUAUGGAUAAGGUUGCCAGAUUUAGCAAAUGAAAAUACAAGAAGCUCAGUUAAAUUUGAAUUUCAAAAAAAACCACAAAAAAAAGUUUUAUUAUAAGUAUGACCCAUGCAAUAACUAGGACAUAGUCAUACAAAAAAUUAUUUGAGGUAUAUUUGAAAUGCCUUGAAUUUUAUUUCUAUGUAUAAAUUUAAAGACUGAAGUAUUUAAUCUUGGACCUUCAUAGAAAAAGUUUACCAACACCUGCUUUAAGGUAAGUGAGAAAACCUUCUUUAACAAUUAAUUAUAUUGUCAAUAUUUAAAAUGAUUUGAAAUUGUUUUUCCCUGAAAGAAGUUAAACAAUUAACCAAGUAUUAAUACAUUUGUCUUUUUUGAGCUACCAAGAUUAAAAUAUGACACCUAAAAUUCUAACUAUUUCACUAAUUUUUUCACCAGCUUCAAAACUUCCAAUAAACUCCUCUACAUAUGAGAGUAUACUAUUAUUUGGAGCAGUGGCUCACAAACUUGCACAUCAUAUUACCUAGGGUGCUUUUUAAAAAUACAAAUUCAGAGUUCCUGUUGUGACACAAUAGGAUCAGUUGUGUCUUGGAAGCUCCGGGACACAGGUUUGAUCCCCAACCCAGCACAGUGGGUUAAGAAUACAUUGCCACAGCUGCAGCUUAGGUCACAACUGCAACUCAGGUCUGAUCCCUGACUUGAAAACUCCAUAUGCCACAGGGUGGCCAAAAAGGGAAAAUAAAUAAAUUAAUUUAAUUUAAUAAAAAUAAAUAUACACACUCUUAAUUAAGCCCCAGACCCAUAAAUUCUGAUUCAUUAUGUCUAAAUUGGAAACCAGGAAUAUUUUUAUUUUUUUCAGUUUUUGAGAUGAUUUUGGAUAGGCUAGAGAACUGAUGACUUGCACACUGGUUUGCAAACUUUUACAUGUAUCAGGGCUUGUUAAAACUCAGAUUGCUUGGCCCUAGUUCCAGAGUUUCUGAUUUAGUAGGUCUGAGGUGGUGCUCUAGAAUGUAGAUGGCAGAGUAGCAGGACAUGAAGCUCACCUACUCCCACAAAGACAGCAAAAAUACACCUAUAUGUGAAACUAAUCACACAAAAAUUUGCUGAACACAGCAAAGGGAUUCUGAUAGAGCAAGAAAAUCUUCACGUAACCAAGGAGGACAAAAGCAAAAAAAAAAAAAAAAAAA
rnacentral:lncRNA from 1 species